UGUAUUCACUACUGUAAGUCGCUCUGGAUAAGAGCGUCUGCUAAAUGACAAAAC
rfam:Salmo salar isolate Sally breed double haploid chromosome ssa03, whole genome shotgun sequence.